rnacentral:rRNA from 1 species
UGCGUAGGCGGUGCAGCAAGUCGGGUGUGAAAUCCCUCAGCUCAACUGAGGAAUUGCGCCCGAAACUGCUGUGCUAGAGGAAGACAGGGGUACGCGGAACUUAGGGUGGAGCGGUGAAAUGCGUUGAUAUCCUAAGGAACACCGGUGGCGUAAGCGGCGUACUGGGUCUUAUCUGACGCUGAGGCACGAAAGCUAGGGGAGGCAACG